AGCUCUUGCUCUUGCUCCUUCGCCUGCUUGCUGUGUGAGACUGAGUAACUGCUAGAUCCUUGGACUUCCAUUCACAGCUGCUCCUGAAUCAUUGUUGGGAAUUGGGCUGCCGACUGGCAGCCAUGGCCAGGCGCAGGUGCUCCUUCAGCUGCUCGAUCUCACGCUCCGACCGAGUCUUGAUGUGGUUCAGCUCCACGUACACAUCCUGGGCGCUUGUAUCAGGAUACUUUAUCACAGCAACACAAAAGCAACAAAGACAGAGACAUCAUGGCUGAUGCUCAAAACUUGUCCAUCCCACCGCUACAAAGCCUUUCUAUCGAGUGUGGCCCUAGGCUUGCUUAUGGCUACUGCACCCGGACGGACAGACGGACAGAUGGCAGAAACCCUACGCAGCAGUGCUGGUCCAUCGCACGGGGAGGUUCACACCACGGUAACUGUUCCAUGUCACACACUGGGACUCGGCUUAUUAUCUUCCACGCGGUCUGGAAGCGGCGAGAACGAUAGCAAUGCAGACCCCGCUUACACUGUGUCACGUGUGUUACACUGUGUCAUGUCUAGAACUACACUUGUGUAGAACAACAAAAAGGUGAACUACUCUGAUCAGAAUGUUCUCCGUCUCCACAGAAAGCUGUCCUUCAGCCCAGCGAAGAAUUUGCUUACAGCGUUGAUCUUGAGAAGUUACUCAUUAGUAUAAAAAUAUUGACCAAUACGC